UAGCUUGCUAUUUUUAUGAAGAGCGGCGAACGGGUGAGUAACGCGUGGGAAAUCUGCCGAGUAGCGGGGGACAACGUUUGGAAACGAACGCUAAUACCGCAUAACAAUGAGAAUCGCAUGAUUCUUAUUUGAAAGAAGCAAUUGCUUCACUAUUUGAUGAUCCCGCGUUGUAUUAGCUAGUUGGUAGUGUAAAGGACUACCAAGGCGAUGAUACAUAGCCGACCUGAGAGGGUGAUCGGCCACACUGGGACUGAGACACGGCCCAGACUCCUACGGGAGGCAGCAGUAGGGAAUCUUCGGCAAUGGGGGCAACCCUGACCGAGCAACGCCGCGUGAGUGAAGAAGGUUUUCGGAUCGUAAAACUCUGUUGUUAGAGAAGAACGUUAAGUAGAGUGGAAAAUUACUUAAGUGACGGUAUCUAACCAGAAAGGGACGGCUAACUACGUGCCAGCAGCCGCGGUAAUACGUAGGUCCCAAGCGUUGUCCGGAUUUAUUGGGCGUAAAGCGAGCGCAGGUGGUUUCUUAAGUCUGAUGUAAAAGGCAGUGGCUCAACCAUUGUGUGCAUUGGAAACUGGGAGACUUGAGUGCAGGAGAGGAGAGUGGAAUUCCAUGUGUAGCGGUGAAAUGCGUAGAUAUAUGGAGGAACACCGGAGGCGAAAGCGGCUCUCUGGCCU
rnacentral:rRNA from 1 species